rnacentral:rRNA from 1 species
AGUGAACGCUGGCGGUAGGCCUAACACAUGCAAGUCGAACGGCAGCACAGAGGAGCUUGCUCCUUGGGUGGCGAGUGGCGGACGGGUGAGGAAUACAUCGGAAUCUACUCUGUCGUGGGGGAUAACGUAGGGAAACUUACGCUAAUACCGCAUACGACCUACGGGUGAAAGCAGGGGAUCUUCGGACCUUGCGCGAUUGAAUGAGCCGAUGUCGGAUUAGCUAGUUGGCGGGGUAACGGCCCACCAAGGCGACGAUCCGUAGCUGGUCUGAGAGGAUGAUCAGACACACUGGAAAUGAGACACGGUCCAGACUCCUACGGGAGGCAGCAGUGGGGAAUAUUGGACAAUGGGCGCAAGCCUGAUUCAGCCAUACCGCGUGGGUGAAGAAGGCCUUCGGGUUGUAAAGCCCUUUUGUUGGGAAAGAAAUCCAUCUGGUUAAUACCCGGAUGGGAUGACGGUACCCAAAGAAUAAGCACUGGCUAACUUCGUGCCAGCCGCCGCCGUAA